UUAGUAUCUCGGACUGGACCUGGACUGCCACUACAGUGAACAUUGAACAGUGAACAGUGAACAGUGAACCGAGCCGAACCUGGACUGAACUGGACCUGAGUCGAGGGAAAGUCGGUGGGAGAACAAAGUGAAAUGCAUACAUCGCAUAUAAGUAGGCAAUCAAAUCGACGCUAAAACAUCAAAGUGCCAAGGCCUUUCAUUUCGUGUCGACUCCAACUCCAACUCGAGCCGAAGGACACCAAAACGAGCUAUCGACCUGCAAGCGGCAUCUGAGGCACGUAGUAAAAGCCAAAUGGCCAUAAAAGGGUCCGGCGAUUGCUGUGAAAUAUGAUGCGCAGUCCUCAAAUACUAAUUAGCUUUGGCAGUCGGGCCCAGAGUGCAGCUAGUGUUGAUGAUACGAGCUACCCAUAGAUACGAGUGCAUACUUCUGUAUCCUAAGUAUAUAAAUACUCGCACGGCGCGGCAAGGCAAGGCACGGCAAGGCAGCAGCCAACCAACCAACCUAUGUGCACAAAUCCGCCAGUGUGGCUGCUGCUGGAGUGGCUAACAAAUUGUGAAAACAAAUUACUGUCAUAAAUGUCAGCAUUACAAACUGACAACAAUCAAUACAUCAAUCUCAACCUGUUGUCAACUCAAACAAAACCACAGCAGCAGCAGCAGCAACAACAAAAACAACAACAACAACAAUAAAUUAUGACAGUUUUAAAGAUACAGAAAAAAGUCCACACAUACGAUACGAGCGACUCCUGUCGCUCCUGUCUUUACAAUUAUACUCGUAAGCCUACAUCAGCUGGCGUCUCUCCCAGUCCAGACAGUCGGACAGUCGAACAUCUCACAGCAAUGUGACAAUGACAAAACAGAAAAAAAAAAAAAAUAAUAAUAAAAAACGCCAACUGUUCCGUCCCGAGCAGAUCGCAAGCAUUUAAUGAAAUCAAGCCUUAGACCGAGAUACACGAAGAUAAAAAUCCAGCUGGAAAAAGCUGUACAACUAAAUGAUUACAAAAAUCUAAAUUGAAUUUCGCCAUAAGUUGAAUCAAUGGCCAACUCUCUGGGCAGCUAAUCCAAACAUGAAAUAUGCCGGAAUAACCCAGUAGUCUCCAGUCAGCAGUCGCUCAGCAGCGCUCAACUGUAUAAAUUCUAAGGUAAACGCAUAAUCUGUAAGGCAGCAAAAAAUGAGCCCCAAGAGCCCCAAGCCAAUAGUAGGGGACUUGGGUGAUGCUCUACAAGGGACACUAAAGAACAGCCUAGGCAUAUUAUUUUCCCACAAUCGUGUCGUUCAUCAAAUCGAAUCUAUUUAAAGAUUUUGCCAAAGAGGCUUUAAAGAGGAUGACUAACAAUUUCCGUAAUUAAAUGGUAAUAGACAACGACAAUACCAGGCAUGCGAAAAAGGUAGAGAAACAAAGCUACAUUGGGUGCUGCCUGUAACGGUGCGGCAGCGAGAUUAUCCAAGAGAGGAAUAGGCGACAGGAGAUGGGAGAUGGGAGUUAGGAGAGAGAUGAGCCCGCGCCUAGACUAGAGAGGAGCUUGGCAAUCAAUAACUUAAAUUACAAAGUAAUUGCACAGGCAUUCACAGCACGCUGUAGCAGCUUCGCUUUGCUUCCAGCAGGCAGCAGGCAGCAGGCAGAAGGCAGCAGGCAGAAAGAGAACUCAUCGUCAUCAGUAUCAGAUUCAGCAUCAGCUUCAGUUUCAGCUUCAGCACCCAGUACCCAGCACCUGAGGCUUUCAGCACUCCACUCCAGUCCACUCCACUCGCGGCGCUCCGUCCUUCUGGCUAUGGCUCUGUCCGCCUCUGGCUGUCGUCACAAAUGUUACACUUGAUGGUAAUGAUGAUGGACAGAUUGGUACCAAAGUCACUCAAAAAGCGUUGCCGUUGCCAGCUCCGAUUCCGAUACCAAGACGAGACUGCGACUUCGACUGCGACUGCAACUGCGACAGAAGCCAAGCCUUAGCCCCAGGCUCAGGCUCAGGCUGAGGCUCAGGCUGAAGAGUGAGACUGAGGCCAGGCCAAUCCGGUAGCCAGUCUGUCAAUUGAAUUACAAGCUGGCCGAGCAAAUGCUUUUUGAUCAUCACAGCCACUGACUGCGAGAGCAGAGCCCAGUCCCAGUCCCAGCCGACCCAGUCCCAGUCUCGACCGGGGUCUAAAAUUAAAUAUUGCGCAUGCGCAUGCGCACAGCACAGCACAGCGCAGCACCCAGUGGUAAAAUCAGUCAACGCAUAUAUGGUAUAAUCUAAAUUUAAGUGUUGACACAUUCGACUGUUGCUGACCAACUGAAAUCGAUACCAAAAGCUGUGAACCCAGUUUUGUACACACGGUGCGAUUAGUACAAGUGAAUUUGAUGGAUUACUCGCAAGAAGAGCGGAGAGUUUGAGGUGAAAGCUCAUCGAGAUCUAAUGAUUGUAGUAAUUAAAAUUAUUUGACGUUGAACAUAUCAAUUUCAUUGAAUAAGUGUACAAAUAUAUGGACAAUCCUCCUGGUAGAUAACAACC